AUUAAAAUUUUUUAUUUAUUCUAUAUCCAUUGAGAGAUUAGAAACAUUGUUAGGUUGAUAACUGAUGUGUAAAAAAAAAUGGAGAUCUACAAGUUAACUGUUUGUGUAAAACAUUACAAAUGACUGGUUCGAAAUUAUCAAAAAUGUAUUUCUAGUCUAAUAUGGCUCGGGCAUAGCUCUUGCGCAUCUAUUAAUACUAGAACGUGAUUCGUUUAGACAAAGUUAAUCAACAACGUUAAGACCGUUAAAAUACACGAAAUGACGUACUUCGACAAAUGGAUUCAUGAAGUUUCAGAUCCAGAUCAGUCGAUUACUAAGGGAUCUCGUUUUAAACAUAGACAAAAAACACUUACCGUUCAACUAAUUACUUAAUUCAUUCAAAGUGACUGUUAUGAUUUAUUAUAUAAUUUCGUAGAAGAAACGGAUUUGAUGGAGCAAUGUAAUAAUUACAUAUAGAUUCAAUAAAAUACAUCAAGAUGAAGAAGUUAACGCCAGCUCACUGAACAUGAAAUACUUAAUCAACGAUAUUGAAGAUG
rnacentral:misc_RNA from 1 species